rnacentral:rRNA from 1 species
AGUGAACGCUGGCGGUAGGCCUAACACAUGCAAGUCGAACGGCAGCACAGUAAGAGCUUGCUCUUACGGGUGGCGAGUGGCGGACGGGUGAGGAAUACUUCGGAAUCUACUUUUUCGUGGGGGAUAACGUAGGGAAACUUACGCUAAUACCGCAUACGACCUACGGGUGAAAGCAGGGGAUCUUCGGACCUUGCGCGAUUGAAUGAGCCGAUGUCGGAUUAGCUAGUUGGCGGGGUGAAGGCCCACCAAGGCGACGAUCCGUAGCUGGUCUGAGAGGAUGAUCAGCCACACUGGAACUGAGACACGGUCCAGACUCCUACGGGAGGCAGCAGUGGGGAAUAUUGGACAAUGGGCGCAAGCCUGAUCCAGCCAUACCGCGUGGGUGAAGAAGGCCUUCGGGUUGUAAAGCCCUUUUGUUGGGAAAGAAAAGCAGCAGGUUAAUACCCCGCUGUUCUGACGGUACCCAAAGAAUAAGCACCGGCUAACUUCGUG